rnacentral:tRNA from 1 species
CAUAGCUCAGCCUGGUAGAGCACCUGCUUUGGGAGCAGGGGGCCGGGGGUUCGAAUCCCUCUG